rnacentral:lncRNA from 1 species
AUGCCCCCCAUCUCGCAACAAGCGCCCCUUAAUAUGCUGGCUACCUCCCUCUCGGCUGGUGAUCCUACUGGACUAGCAGGGGGCAUGGUGCCCCUCGCUCAGCAGACCCAGCCCACUGCCACUCCUAUGCAGCCCCCUGACAUCAUCCCUCAGGCAGCACAACAGCAAGCGCAGCCUGUCAUGAUCUCUCAGCCGGCCAUUGUCCAACAACAACAGACAGGGAUGGAGCCACACACCACCAGCGUACAGCAGCAACACCAAAUGGAGGUCCAUGCCGCUCUGCUUCAACAGAAGCAUGCUAGCGCUGCUCAGCAGCCUCAGCUAGCCACUGAAACGCUGAUGGCUGACCAGCGGCAGCAGAGCCUUUCCACCACGGCCACCCAUCAACAUCCACCUGAGCUUCAGCAGCACAUGUACGUACAGCAAGCCAUACCUCCGCAAACCCCUCAACAGACAGUUUUGGCAACACAGCCAGGCAUGGAACAACAGCGGCAACAGGUGUUGUCAUUUACCCAGCCGGCAGAGCUGCUUCACAUGGAUCAACAUGGACAGACCCUGCUACAACAGCAACAGCAACAACAGCUUCAACAACAGCAACAACAACAACAUCAACAACAGCUUCAACAACAACAGCUUCAACAACAGAAUAAUCAACAACACAUACAGCAUCAACAACAACAACACCCACAACAGUACCAACAACAGCAUCAACUGCAGAACCAACAACAGCAGCAACUACAGCAACAACUACAGCACCAACAGCAGAACCAACAACAACCGCAACUACAGCAACAACCACAGCAUCAACAGCAACAACCACAGCAUCAACAACAGCAACAGCUUCAAUCACAGCAGCAGCAACAACAACAGCAACAACUACAACAGCAGCUUCAACAAAAACAAAAUCAUCAACAACAACUGCUACAACACCUUCAACAACAGCAAACCAUUUCAAUGCAGCAACAGAUACCGCAGCAACAGCAAGUGGAAUUUCAACAACAACAGCAACAACAACAGAACCAACACCAAGCUUUACUACUGGAGCAACAUGCAUGCAUCCAACAGCAACAUCAAGCCCAACAACAACAAGCCCAACAACAACAGCAACAACAAGCCCAACAACAACAGCAACAACAAGCCCAACAACAACAAGCCCAACAACAACAGCAACAACAAGCCCAACAGCAACCAUCCCAACAACAGCAACAACAAGCCCAACAGCAACCAUCCCAACAACAGCAACAACAAGCCCAACAACAACAACAACAACAAAAGCAACAACAGCAACAACAGCAACAACAACAGUUGGAGCAGCAACAAGUACUUAUUCAAAAACAAUUACUGGAGCAACAGCAGGCCCUUCUGCACCAGCGGCAGCAAGAGCAGCAGCCCAAACAAUCGUUGCUACCGCAACAACAAUCCUUGCUGCAGCAGCAACCACAAGAUCAGCAACAGCAAGCCAUCUUACAACAACAGCUGGAGCAACAUCAACAGCAAGUGAUUUUACAGCAACAACAACUACAUCUUGAGCAGAAGCAGUCAAACCAAUUACAGCCGCAGCUUGACCAAUCCCAUCCGCAUGUUCUAAUGCAAACCCCUCAGCCUCAGUUGCAUCCUCUGAAUGAGCAACAGCAGCAGAGCCAGAUGCAACAGCAAGUGGAACAACAGCAUCAGCAAGCUCUACUGCAGCAACACCUGCAGCAGCAAGUUAUUCUGCAACAACAGCAUGCUCUCCUGCAGCAGCAACGCUUGGAUCAACAACAAGCACAGCUCAAGCAUCAGCUGGAAACACAGCAGCAGCAGGCUUUGUUACAACAGCAGCUAGAGAAACAACACCAACAAGCCCUGUUGAAACAACAGCAACAACAACAACAACAACCACAGCAACCACAAGCAGAGCCACUGCAACGGAAUCAGCAGAAUCAGAUUCAAGAGCAACCUCAGCAACAGACUACCAUUCAACAACUAGAGGCCGUCUCUCUCGAGCAACAGAGGGAGCAGCAGACUUUGAUUCAACAGCCAUUGACCGGCGUCCAGCAGGUGUGCCUCCCUCAGCAGAGUGUCCCUCAGUUCUCAGGGCCGAGCACAGGUCUCACCCAGGUGCAACAGCAGGCUGCACACGUACAGCAGCAGCAGAACGCCUACAUGGCACAGCAGCACGCUAGCUCUGCAGCGGAGCCCAUCGACUCUCAGGCAGCCGUCAUGGAGGGCACCCUGCACCAAACUCAAAUGAUACCGCAGGCCCAUCCGACACCUGUCCAGGCCACGAAACACCCCGCUCAGUCACUCGCUGCUGUGAUGCAAGCUCAAGUCCCGGCCCAGCAGCGACAGAGUGACCUCCUGCCCAAUAGCAUAGCCCAGGUCCCAGUCCAGUUCCAGACCAUGGCCGCCCACCCGGCACCGCAGCCUCGAUCAAUGAUGGAAGCCCCAGUCCCUCUUCAGGUGGUGACUUCCAUCCAGGGCCAGCCGCCAUCGGCCCAGACUCAGCAACUUCACUUGCAGGCCACACUUCCGAUGGCUGCCACAAUGACGCCGGGCGAGGCGGCGGCUCAGCCUUUAAUCCGCCUACAGCCCCUGCAUCCGGUGAUGCAGAGUCAGCCUCAGCCACCACAAGGCCAAAUACCAACUGACGCAACCAUGAUGGCUCAGCAGAACCAAGCCCCCAUUCAGUCCCCGCCGGCUGUUGCCAUGGCUCCCUGUCAGGUUCAACCUAACAUACCAGCACAACAGACUGGCCAAAUUUCAGGAAUGUUACAGGCCCAGCUGCAGCCAUCUGGCCAGGUGCAGGUUCAGGCUCCCACCGGCAUUUUGGCGCCCCAGUAUAAUCAAGCCCUUCAGGCAGCGAUGCCCUCAAUACACCAGGACAUCGUUCCACAACAGCAGCAGCCCUCUGUACUGCAGCAUCAGCAGAUGAUUCUGUCUCCUGGCGCCAUUGGAAGUGUUGGAGCAGGCAUGGCUGUCAGUUGCUCCAUGGUCGACCCCAUAUCCUUUACAUCUGCUCUUCCUCCUGUACAGCAGACGGGGCAAGCAUACGUUGCUAGUCAAACAAUUCAACAGCCAGCGGUUCAGAGCCAGCAGCAGUUGACGGGAAAUAUAGCCGUGUCUUCCGUCACCCACUCUUUACCCCAGCCGGCAACUAUUCAACCUACUGGGCAGUACCAACAACCACUGCAGACGCUACCACAAAUGCAAAAUCAGCAACAACAAAUGCAGCAACAGCAACAAAUGCAACAGCAACAACAAAUGCAACAACAACAAAUGCAACAGCAACAAAUGCAUCAGCAACAGAUGCAACAGCAACCAAUGCAACAGCAACCAAUGCAACAACAGCAGCAGCCACAACCGCCACUUCCAUUUCACCAGACGCACCAGGCCCUUCUCGGUCCAGCCUCCAUACAGCAACCGCUCCUCCUUCAGCAGCAAGCCCUGGAUCCGAGUCAGCUGCCCCCACAGCCUCACGCGGCUCCCCAGCUGCUAACCCAGUACUCUGCCCAGAUCAUCUCAAAGGGCCCAGCCCAGCCGCAGUCCCCGCCCCAGGCGCUCCCGCUGUACAGUCAGAUCGUCGCAGGGCAACCCCCGUCGUCCGUGCAGAGGACGCUGCCCGCCGACACACAAACCCAGACCGGCAUGCAGGCCCAGGCUCAGACGCACACACAGACGCACGUCCAGACACAGGCCCACCCUCACGCACAGAUCCAACCGGCCAACCCCUCUUUCGUGGCAGAGCAGGCUGCUCUUCCCCAUGCCGCCUUUCCCCUCCAACAGAUGCCCCCCAGUCCCACUCAUACCUCCUACCCGCCAGCAUCGCUAGCCACCCUCUCCCAGCUGCCCUCCCUCCACGCUCUGGCUGGCCAAGUUCCUCCAGAGCUCACCUCGCCCCCACCAGGGGGGCCGAGCACCUUACCCGGAUGGGCUGACGUCCCCACCUCCCCUCCUCCUGUCGCACCUGUCCAGUUGCUUGACUCUAAUGUCCCCUUGCUGUCCCAAACCUCGCUGCAAGACUGUGACCCUCCUCCAUUGCUGGGCAUAGCUCAGGUACAGGCCACAAGACCCACUGGGUUGUUACCUCACAACAUUGUCUUCAGUUAG